AAAAAAUCCAUCGUUUACAGAAGUGGAUUGCUCGGAUUAUCGAAUUAGGUUCAAAGUAUAUGUAGUGUUAUUAAUACUACGAAAGAAGAAACGUCGCGUGUCAUUAGUAUUCAGAGUAACGUUUCAUAAGUGUAUCUCUCUCCAGUUGUUGUAUACGGUACUGAUCACAAUCACAAAUAAGAUGCAAGUGAGAUAUUACGCGCGUGAUAUGUUAAUAGAAGCUUGUUAUACGUAUAUCAAUCGAACAAAAUUUUUACUUUUCAGCAGUAAUGCCUAUAUAAAUUAUUUCUUUUUUCGCAAUAACCACUUAAUAUAUUAAUUUUCGUUAAACAAAAAUGUAAAAGAAUAAGAGUAGUUUUGUAUGGAGAUAAAUCUGUAACAUGAUUGUUAACAUGCUUGAGAAUAAUUAGUAAUCGUAUGAGGAUUAUUGCUAUAUUGCGAAGAAUGGACUCGCGCGAAGAGUCUUCAACGUACUAACUGCUGCCAUCUGCUGAGUCCGAAGAGCCUUUCGAUUGGAAAAAAUAUCUAGAGGGAAGGGGUUAUAAGGAAAAUGUUCUCGACUAAUAGGAACGUUAUAUUGUAUCGACAGAUAUCUAUUAGCUUUAUUGACCUAUUGAUAAUUUCAUAAUGAAGUAAAGCAUCGAAAUAAAAAUAUAUUUUCUUCUGCGUUAUAUAUUUGCUGAUGUUGAAAUAAGUCACACAUAUAUAUAUAUACAUAAAAUGUAUUUCUGAGAGUAAGUUUCAUCAUUCUGACUUUGUGGGUUGGCUUAUUAAGACAAUUCAGGGAUUUCCAAUUCUAACAUUGCAUGCUUUACGUCAUACAGAAGACGAUAAGUUUCGCGGUAGACAAAUCAUGCCUUUGAUAAUUUCCGCAUACUGUUUUAAAAAUAACAUGCACUUCGUUUAUUAAGGAAAAAUAUAAAAAUAAUUGUACACGUAUAUCUUGCAUGAUGUUUGUAUGACCUAGAGAA
rnacentral:lncRNA from 1 species